rnacentral:rRNA from 1 species
GGUUAAUGAGGCGAACCGGGGGAACUGAAACAUCUAAGUACCCCGAGGAAAAGAAAUCAACCGAGAUUCCCCCAGUAGCGGCGAGCGAACGGGGAGGAGCCCAGAGCCUGAAUCAGUGUGUGUGUUAGUGGAAGCGUCUGGAAAGGCGUGCGAUACAGGGUGACAGCCCCGUACACAAAAAUGCACAUAUUGUGAGCUCGAUGAGUAGGGCGGGACACGUGGUAUCCUGUCUGAAUAUGGGGGGACCAUCCUCCAAGGCUAAAUACUCCUGACUGACCGAUAGUGAACCAGUACCGUGAGGGAAAGGCGAAAAGAACCCCGGCGAGGGGAGUGAAAAAGAACCUGAAACCGUGUACGUACAAGCAGUGGGAGCCUCUUAAUGGGGUGACUGCGUACCUUUUGUAUAAUGGGUCAGCGACUUAUAUUCUGUAGCAAGGUUAACCGAAUAGGGGAGCCGAAGGGAAACCGAGUCUUAACUGGGCGUUAAGUUGCAGGGUAUAGACCCGAAACCCGGUGAUCUAGCCAUGGGCAGGUUGAAGGUUGGGUAACACUAACUGGAGGACCGAACCGACUAAUGUUGAAAAAUUAGCGGAUGACUUGUGGCUGGGGGUGAAAGGCCAAUCAAACCGGGAGAUAGCUGGUUCUCCCCGAAAGCUAUUUAGGUAGCGCCUCGUGAAUUCAUCUCCGGGGGUAGAGCACUGUUUCGGCAAGGGGGUCAUCCCGACUUACCAACCCGAUGCAAACUGCGAAUACCGGAGAAUGUUAUCACGGGAGACACACGGCGGGUGCUAACGUCCGUCGUGAAGAGGGAAACAACCCAGACCGCCAGCUAAGGUCCCAAAGUCAUGGUUAAGUGGGAAACGAUGUGGGAAGGCCCAGACAGCCAGGAUGUUGGCUUAGAAGCAGCCAUCAUUUAAAGAAAGCGUAAUAGCUCACUGGUCGAGUCGGCCUGCGCGGAAGAUGUAACGGGGCUAAACCAUGCACCGAAGCUGCGGCAGCGACACUAUGUGUUGUUGGGUAGGGGAGCGUUCUGUAAGCCUGUGAAGGUGGCCUGUGAGGGUUGCUGGAGGUAUCAGAAGUGCGAAUGCUGACAUAAGUAACGAUAAAGCGGGUGAAAAGCCCGCUCGCCGGAAGACCAAGGGUUCCUGUCCAACGUUAAUCGGGGCAGGGUGAGUCGACCCCUAAGGCGAGGCCGAAAGGCGUAGUCGAUGGGAAACAGGUUAAUAUUCCUGUACUUGGUGUUACUGCGAAGGGGGGACGGAGAAGGCUAUGUUGGCCGGGCGACGGUUGUCCCGGUUUAAGCGUGUAGGCUGGUUUUCCAGGCAAAUCCGGAAAACCAAGGCUGAGGCGUGAUGA